GCUCAACCGAGGAAGUGCUUCGAAAACUGGUAAACUUGAGUGCAGAAGAGGAAAGUGGAACUCCAUGUGUAGCGGUGGAAUGCGUAGAUAUAUGGAAGAACACCAGUGGCGAAGGCGGCUUUCUGGUCUGUAACUGACGCUGAGAUUCGAAAGCAUGGGUAGCAAACAGGAUUAGAUACCCUGGUAGUCCAUGCCGUAAACGAUGAGUGCUAAGUGUUGGAGGGUUUCCGCCCUUCAAUGCUGCAGCUAACGCAUUAAGCACUCCGCCUGGGGAGUACGAUCGCAAGAUUGAAACUCAAAGGAAUUGACGGGGGCCCGCACAAGCGGUGGAGCAUGUGGUCUAAUUCGAAGCAACGCGAAGAACCUUACCAGGUCUUGACAUACCAUGAAAAGCUUAGAGAUAAGUCUUUCCCUUCGGGGACAUGGAUACAGGUGGUGCAUGGUUGUCGUCAGCUCGUGUCGUGAGAUGUUGGGUUAAGUCCCGCAACGAGCGCAACCCUUAUUAUCAGUUGCCAGCAUUCAGUUGGGCACUCUGGUGAGACUGCCGGUGAUAAACCGGAGGAAGGUGGGGACGACGUCAAAUCAUCAUGCCCCUUAUGACCUGGGCUACACACGUGCUACAAUGGUCGGUACAACG
rnacentral:rRNA from 1 species